AUUGAACGCUGGCGGCAUGCUUUACACAUGCAAGUCGAACGGUAACAGGGAGCUUGCUCCGCUGACGAGUGGCGAACGGGUGAGUAAUGCGUCGGAACGUGCCGAGUAGUGGGGGAUAACGCAUCGAAAGGUGUGCUAAUACCGCAUACGUACUGAGGUAGAAAGUGGGGGACCUUCGGGCCUCACGCUAUUCGAGCGGCCGACGUCUGAUUAGCUAGUUGGUGAGGUAAAGGCUCACCAAGGCGACGAUCAGUAGCGGGUCUGAGAGGAUGAUCCGCCACACUGGGACUGAGACACGGCCCAGACUCCUACGGGAGGCAGCAGUGGGGAAUUUUGGACAAUGGGCGCAAGCCUGAUCCAGCCAUGCCGCGUGUCUGAAGAGGGCCUUCGGGUUGUAAAGGACUUUUGUCGGGGAGGAAAUCCCCAGCGUUAAUACCGCUGGGGGAUGACAGUACCUGAAGAAUAAGCACCGGCUAACUACGUGCCAGCAGCCGCAGUAACAC
rnacentral:rRNA from 1 species